UACGUAGGGUGCAAGCGUUGUCCGGAAUUAUUGGGCGUAAAGAGCUCGUAGGCGGUUUGUCGCGUCUGCUGUGAAAACUCGGGGCUUAACCCCGGGCCUGCAGUGGGUACGGGCAGACUAGAGUGCGGUAGGGGAGACUGGAAUUCCUGGUGUAGCGGUGGAAUGCGCAGAUAUCAGGAGGAACACCGGUGGCGAAGGCGGGAUCCUGGGCCAGUACUGACGCUGAGGAGCGAAAGCGUGGGGAGCAAACAGG
rnacentral:rRNA from 1 species